AAUAUUGCGCAAUGGGGGAAACCCUGACGCAGCGACGCCGCGUGAGCGAAGAAGGCCUUCGGGUCGUAAAGCUCUGUUCUUGGGGACGAAAGAAAUGACGGUACCCAAGGAGAAAGCCCCGGCUAACUACGUGCCAGCAGCCGCGGUAAUACGUAGGGGGCAAGCGUUGUCCGGAAUUACUGGGCGUAAAGGGCGUGUAGGCGGCCAUGUAUGUCAGGUGUGAAAUGCCACGGCUCAACCGGGGCACUGCACAUGAAACUGGAUGGCUUGAGUGCAGGAGAGGGAAGUGGAAUUCCUAGUGUAGCGGUGAAAUGCGUAGAUAUUAGGAGGAACACCAGUGGCGAAGGCGACUUCCUGGACUGUAACUGACGCUGAGGCGCGAAAGCGUGGGUAGCAAAC
rnacentral:rRNA from 1 species